UUGGCUCAACCAANGUAUGCUUUGGAAACUGUUAGACUNGAGUGCAGAAGGGGAGAGUGGAAUUCCAUGUGUAGCGGUGAAAUGCGUAGAUAUAUGGAGGANCACCGGUGGCGAAAGCGGCUCUCUGGUCUGUCACUGACGCUGAGGCUCGAAAGCGUGGGUAGCGAACAGGAUUAGAUACCCUGGUAGUNCACGCCGUAAACGCUGAGUGCUAGGUGUUAGGUCCUUUCCGGGACUUAGUGCCGACGCUAACGCAUUAAGCACUCCGCCUGGGGAGUACGACCGCAAGGUUGAAACUCAAAGGAAUUGACGGGGGCCCGCACAAGCGGUGGAGCAUGUGGUUUAAUUCGAAGCAACGCGAAGAACCUUACCAGGUCUUGACAUCCCGAUGCCCGCUCUAGAGAUAGAGUUUUUCUUCGGAACAUCGGAGACAGGUGGUGCAUGGUUGUCGUCAGCUCGUGUCGUGAGAUGUUGGGUUAAGUCCCGCAACGAGCGCAACCCUUAUUGUUAGUUGCCAUCAUUAAGUUGGGCACUCUAGCGAGACUGCCGGUAAUAAACCGGAGGAAGGUGGGGAUGACGUCAAAUCAUCAUGCCCCUUAUGACCUGGGCUACACACGUGCUACAAUGGUUGGUACAACGAGUCGCAAGCCGGUGACGGCAAGCUAAUCUCUGAAAGCCAAUCUCAGUUCGGAUUGUAGGCUGCAAC
rnacentral:rRNA from 1 species